CAGAAGAAGUAGAAGAGGACAGCAAGGACUGGGCAAACAAUUGAGAGAAUGUGGUGUAAGAAAGUAAGUUGUUCUUUUAGAAGAAGCAGAAGAAGUAGAAGAAGAAACAGUAGAAGUUGAAGAGGACAGCAAGGAGUGGGCAAACAAUUGAGAGAAUGUGGCGUAAGAAAGCCGGCGGAGGAUUGCAUGGAGGACUGACGCUGGCAUAGAUGGAUGGUCCAGGACAGAGAGUGUGCUGACAACCAGUGAAUACGGGCCAUCGUUGCAGAAAGGACGUGUCAACGCGUCGCCGCCGCGUCAAAGUGUCAUCUCCGCUCUGGCGUCUGGGCCCGGCGGGCUCCGCCACUUGGGCGCUACUUUGACGUCCCCUGGCGACCAGGAUGACGGAACCUGAG